rnacentral:rRNA from 1 species
CCUACGGGAGGCAGCAGUGGGGAAUUUUGGACAAUGGGCGCAAGCCUGAUCCAGCCAUGCCGCGUGAGUGAAGAAGGCCUUCGGGUUGUAAAGCUCUUUCGGUGGGGAAGAAAUGGUUUCGGUUAAUACCCGGAACUGAUGACGGUACCCGCAUAAGAAGCACCGGCU